CACAUGCAAGUCGAACGGUGAAGCCCAGCUUGCUGGGUGGAUCAGUGGCGAACGGGUGAGUAACACGUGAGCAAUCUGCCCCUGACUCUGGGAUAAGCGCUGGAAACGGCGUCUAAUACUGGAUACGAACCGUGGAGGCAUCUUCAACGGUUGGAAAGAUUUUUUGGUCAGGGAUGAGCUCGCGGCCUAUCAGCUUGUUGGUGAGGUAAUGGCUCACCAAGGCGUCGACGGGUAGCCGGCCUGAGAGGGUGACCGGCCACACUGGGACUGAGACACGGCCCAGACUCCUACGGGAGGCAGCAGUGGGGAAUAUUGCACAAUGGGCGAAAGCCUGAUGCAGCAACGCCGCGUGAGGGAUGACGGCCUUCGGGUUGUAAACCUCUUUUAGCAGGGAAGAAGCGAAAGUGACGGUACCUGCAGAAAAAGCGCCGGCUAACUACGUGCCAGCAGCCGCGGUAAUACGUAGGGCGCAAGCGUUAUCCGGAAUUAUUGGGCGUAAAGAGCUCGUAGGCGGUUUGUCGCGUCUGCUGUGAAAUCCCGAGGCUCAACUUCGGGUCUGCAGUGGGUACGGGCAGACUAGAGUGCGGUAGGGGAGAUUGGAAUUCCUGGUGUAGCGGUGGAAUGCGCAGAUAUCAGGAGGAACACCGAUGGCGAAGGCAGAUCUCUGGGCCGUAACUGACGCUGAGGAGCGAAAGGGUGGGGAGCAAACAGGCUUAGAUACCCUGGUAGUCCACCCCGUAAACGUUGGGAACUAGUUGUGGGGUCCAUUCCACGGAUUCCGUGACGCAGCUAACGCAUUAAGUUCCCCGCCUGGGGAGUACGGCCGCAAGGCUAAAACUCAAAGGAAUUGACGGGGACCCGCACAAGCGGCGGAGCAUGCGGAUUAAUUCGAUGCAACGCGAAGAACCUUACCAAGGCUUGACAUAUACGAGAACGCUGCAGAAAUGUAGAACUCUUUGGACACUCGUAAACAGGUGGUGCAUGGUUGUCGUCAGCUCGUGUCGUGAGAUGUUGGGUUAAGUCCCGCAACGAGCGCAACCCUCGUUCUAUGUUGCCAGCACGUAAUGGUGGGAACUCAUGGGAUACUGCCGGGGUCAACUCGGAGGAAGGUGGGGAUGACGUCAAAUCAUCAUGCCCCUUAUGUCUUGGGCUUCACGCAUGCUACAAUGGCCGGUACAAAGGGCUGCAAUACCGUGAGGUGGAGCGAAUCCCAAAAAGCCGGUCCCAGUUCGGAUUGAGGUCUGCAACUCGACCUCAUGAAGUCGGAGUCGCUAGUAAUCGCAGAUCAGCAACGCUGCGGUGAAUACGUUCCCGGGUCUUGUACACACCGCCCGUCAAGUCAUGAAAGUCGGUAACACCUGAAGCCGGUGGCCCAACCCUUGUGGAGGGAGCCGUCGA
rnacentral:rRNA from 1 species